rnacentral:lncRNA from 1 species
AUGAUAUGAUGUUGGCUCCAUUGCACUUAGUUAAGUCAUUCCCACCAUGCAAGUUCGAGUAGGGGUUGAAGAACAACCUCACAAUGAUAUGAUGUUGGCUAUUCUCGUUGCCUACCUUCACAACAUCAUGUAUGCAUAUAGUAUUCAUCCUGAGUGUAAGCACGCACUUUGUACUCCCCCAUGAUAGGGUGAAGUAGGUGUACGAGUCACAAACGAUCGGAGCCUACCACGGUGGAAGGCCAUGAAAGAGUGUUCAAAGCACUCUCACGCUUAUCAGCUUAAUAAUGGUUUGGUUGAGGGUUUUAGGUCUCAUCACAUAUAAACAUACAUUUUAAUCUUAUUAAAACAAUUUGGUCCUAUUACAACUAUUGGUCCAUGUGAUUGAUUUAGUUGUACAUGAUACUCCCACUAUGCUUGUAAAAUGGUUU